rnacentral:rRNA from 1 species
CAGUCGCCACGGUAAUACGUAGGGUGUAAGCGUUAAUCGGAAUUACUGGGCGUAAAGCGUGCGCAGGCGGUUUGUUAAGACAGAUGUGAAAUCCCCGGGCUCAACCUGGGAACUGCAUUUGUGACUGGCAAGCUAGAGUGUGGCAGAGGGGGGUGGAAUUCCGCGUGUAGCAGUGAAAUGCGUAGAUAUGCGGAGGAACACCGAUGGCGAAGGCAGCCCCCUGGGCCAACACUGACGCUCAUGCACGAAAGCGUGGGGAGCAAACAGGAUUAGAUACCCGUGUAGUCCCUGUCUCUUAUAC